rnacentral:rRNA from 1 species
AUUGAACGCUGGCGGCAUGCUUUACACAUGCAAGUCGAACGGCAGCGCGGGCUUCGGCCUGGCGGCGAGUGGCGAUCGGGUGAGUAAUGCAUCGGAACGUGCCCAGUAGUGGGGGAUAGCACGGCGAAAGCCGGAUUAAUACCGCAUACGACCUGAGGGUGAAAGCGGGGGACCGAAAGGCCUCGCGCUAUUGGAGCGGCCGAUGUCGGAUUAGCUAGUUGGUGGGGUAAAGGCUUACCAAGGCGACGAUCCGUAGCUGGUCUGAGAGGACGACCAGCCACACUGGGACUGAGACACGGCCCAGACGCCUACGGGAGGCAGCAGUGGGGAAUUUUGGACAAUGGGGGCAACCCUGAUCCAGCCAUGCCGAGUGCGGGAAGAAGGCCUUCGGGUUGUAAACCGCUUUUGUUCGGGAAGAAAUUCUCUGGGCUAAUACCCAGGGGGGAUGACGGUACCGGAAGAAUAAGCACCGGCUAACUACGUG